UCUAAAUGUAUCUCGAUCAGAAGGUGAUGAUUCAGUUGAUGAUACAUUAAAAAGUCUUUUCUAAUUAUUAUCCUGUUUUGAUCAAAAACUUUCAGAAUCAUCAACCUAUGAGAUCACAUCGGAUAUUUGCUCUCCUUAUUAAGAGUGACUGAUCCCUUAUUGACCACUCACAACCUUCAUACAUAUUUCACCAUAUCUAGAACACCCCACAC
rnacentral:lncRNA from 1 species